rnacentral:rRNA from 1 species
AGAUUGAACGCUGGCGGCGUGCCUAACACAUGCAAGUCGAGCGGUAACAGGUGUAGCAAUACAUGCUGACGAGCGGCGAACGGGUGAGUAAUGCUUCGGAAUCUACCUUAUGGUGGGGAAUAACUAGCCGAAAGGUUAGCUAAUACCGCAUACGUCCUACGGGAGAAGGCAGGGGAUCGCAAGACCUUGCGCCAAAAGAUGAGCCGAAGUCGGAUUAGCUAGUUGGUAGGUAACGGCCUACCAAGGCGACGAUCCGUAGCUGGUCUGAGAGGACGACCAGCCACACUGGAACUGAGACACGGUCCAGACUCCUACGGGAGGCAGCAGUGGGAAUAUUGGACAAUGGGGGAAACCCUGAUCCAGCGACGCCGCGUAGUGUGAAGAAGGCCUGGCGGUUGUAAAGCUACGUUUUUAGUGGGAAUGGAAAUGGUAGCAGAGCUAAAUACCUCUGUAACUUUGAACCCUUAACCAACAAGAAAAACGCAACCCGGACUAACGUCUA